rnacentral:rRNA from 1 species
AGUGAACGCUGGCGGUAGGCCUAACACAUGCAAGUCGAACGGCAGCACAGUAAGAGCUUGCUCUUACGGGUGGCGAGUGGCGGACGGGUGAGGAAUACAUCGGAAUCUACUUUUUCGUGGGGGAUAACGUAGGGAAACUUACGCUAAUACCGCAUACGACCUACGGGUGAAAGCAGGGGAUCUUCGGACCUUGCGCGAUUGAAUGAGCCGAUGUCGGAGUAGCUAGUUGGCGGGGUAAAGGCCCACCAAGGCGACGAUCCGUAGCUGGUCUGAGAGGAUGAUCAGCCACACUGGAACUGAGACACGGUCCAGACUCCUACGGGAGGCAGCAGUGGGGAAUAUUGGACAAUGGGCGCAAGCCUGAUCCAGCCAUACCGCGUGGGUGAAGAAGGCCUUCGGGUUGUAAGGCCCUUUUGUUGGGAAAGAAAAGCAGCAGGUUAAUACCCCGCUGUUCUGACGGUACCCAAAGAAUAAGCACCGGCUAACUUCGU